CUUGGCUAGUAGGAAAUUUCAGCUUCAAGUGGUAGGUCGACACCACAGCUCGAAGGGCAUUGAGGCCAGGUCAGCCGAGUAUUGCGUUGUAGGCAGACAGCACCCUCACUACCAGAAAAUCCACCUGUGCUCUUGAUUGCUUUGGGUACCGGCCUGCAACCACGAUUAAAGUUAUCCCCUCCACUGGCACAGCGUCGCU
rnacentral:lncRNA from 1 species